rnacentral:rRNA from 1 species
UACGAAGGGGGCGAGCGUUGUUCGGAUUUACUGGGCGUAAAGGGCGCGCAGGCGGCCAUCCAAGUCAGGCGUGAAAGCCCCGGGCUUAACCUGGGAGGUGCGUCUGGGACUGGGUGGCUAGAGUUCGGGAGAGGAGAGUGGAAUUCCCAGUGUAGAGGUGAAAUUCGUAGAUAUUCGCAAGAACACCAGUGGCGAAGGCGGCUCACUGGCCCGGAACUGACGCUGAGACGCGAAGGCCAGGGGAGCAAACGGG